CGACAAAUACAAAAACCGUCCAAGAACGUAUUACACUAAAUUUCCAGUUACGAUCAAAGAACGCCAGUUGUUUGACACGCUUUGUCCAGUAUAAAAGCAUUAAUAUGUGCAGAAAAGAUGAUACAUAUUCCCAAAAUCACCAGAUAUUACUAACCUUAGAAUCGGAGCAGAAAUUUGGCCAGGAAUGGAGGCUGCCAUCUCAACGUCUGAUAGCUAGAUGCUAAUUUAGCUCAAGGGCAGCCAACUUUAGCCUUGGAAUGAGGCCUGAGGAAGAACUCUGGCUGGGUGCAGCACCGGUAGCAAAGAGCCUGAGGCACCAGAGUGUACAGUAUAUUGACCAACAUGAAAACAAGCUGGCUGCUAACAGGUACUCUGUAUGAGAACGGAGUCCGAGUGUGAAGAGAUGCACCAAUAUAGGAAAA